rnacentral:lncRNA from 1 species
AUCUGGGUGGAUCGCAGUUUUAUUUUGUGUUUAGUAAACCAUGUAAAUUUGCAGAUUUUAUUAAAAGGAUUUCGGAAAUUUUGAAGAUGCUGCUUGUUGUAACAGUGUUCGCAUGCCUACUCUGUGUGGACUGCGUCUAUGGAGCCCAGUCACUGCAAUACAGCGCAAUACACUCUGGAGGGAUAGUCCAGUUUGAUAUAAGGAUCUACAAAGAUACUGACACAGUGACAGCCGCAGCCAUACCGAACACCAACACUGGACAAGUGGACCCAGGAACAUCAGCCAAUGCUUG